rnacentral:sRNA from 1 species
GAUUCGGUAGGUGAGGCUACCGCAGGGAUAUGGACUGCUGCCGCGAAGCUGUGGAGACACAACGAGAAGGUCAGCAGGUGACGUCGUAGAAGGCGCCACUUAAUGCAGUUUCACGCCCUGUGAUGCUAAAGCUUGAACGGU